rnacentral:tRNA from 1 species
GGAGAGGUGUCCGAGAGGCCGAAGGAGCUUGACUCGAAAUCAAGUGUAGGGGUGACUCUACCGUGGGUUCGAAUCCCACCCUCUCCGCCA